rnacentral:rRNA from 1 species
UUGAACGCUGGCGGCAGGCCUAACACAUGCAAGUCGAGCGGAUGAAGGGAGCUUGCUCCUGGAUUCAGCGGCGGACGGGUGAGUAAUGCCUAGGAAUCUGCCUGGUAGUGGGGGAUAACGUCCGGAAACGGGCGCUAAUACCGCAUACGUCCUGAGGGAGAAAGUGGGGGAUCUUCGGACCUCACGCUAUCAGAUGAGCCUAGGUCGGAUUAGCUAGUUGGUGGGGUAAAGGCCUACCAAGGCGACGAUCCGUAACUGGUCUGAGAGGAUGAUCAGUCACACUGGACCUAGGCAACGGUCCGGCCUCCUAGGGAGGGCGGCGUUGGGAAUAUUGGACAAUGGGCGAAAGCCUGAUCCAGCCAUGCCGCGUGUGUGAAGAAGGUCUUCGGAUUGUAAAGCACUUUAAGUUGGGAGGAAGGGCAGUAAGUUAAUACCUUGCUGUUUUGACGUUACCAACAGAAUAAGCACCGGCUAACUUCGUG